UACGACGGGGGCUAACGUUGUUCGGAAUCGCUGGGCGUAAAGCGCACGCAGGCGGACCGAUAAGUCGGGGGUGAAAGCCCGGGGCACAAACUCGGAAUUGCCUUCGAUACUGUCGGUCUCGAGUCCGGGAGAGGUGAGUUGAAUUCCUAGUGUAGAGGUGAAAUUCGUAGAUAUUAGGAAGAACACCAGUGGCGAAGGCAGCUCACUGGCCCGGUACUGACGCUCAGGUGCGAAAGCGUGGGGAGCAAACAGG
rnacentral:rRNA from 1 species